CAGCUGCCCUGCGCUGGCUCCACGGAGGUGGGCUGAGCUGAAUUGCAUCCCAGCAGCCUCCAUGCAGAUCGGAGUGAUGUGGAGUGAGUUUCCUAAGAUUAGGUCCAAUUCUUGGAGGCCUCUGAGUGCUGGCAUCUUCUCCUGGGUGACAUAAUUGCCCCAAAGAGACCAAAGACUUCAUGGGGGAAGAAAUGAUGACCAGUGGCUCCUAACAAUGAAUGGGUUUGAGAGGCUGAAGGGAACAUUAGGAUUAUGAUGAGGAGACCUUUAAAGAGGAUCUUCCUAAUCAAGAUAUUCCUGCCCCAACGGGUAGUGGAGAGAAACAACUUCUGGGAAAGGCCGAGACUCCAGGCCACGUGGAGCCCAGGCGUGCGGGCUGCUGAAGGAUCAGGAAUCGAUACUCCCUCUGGUGAUGCUCAAGAAGACACUUCUAGCUCCUUCUGCCUCACCAUUGACAGGAUUUUCACCCAGCAGAUCUUGAGAAUGACGGCUCUAUCAUAGGAAAUUAAAGCUGAAUUUUAGUGUAGAAUCUGUAACAACCCAGUUCCUAAAAGUCUUGCUGAUUGGGAGCAGAGGGCAAGGCUGGCGAAUUAGUUCAAAUUUUGAAUUAACAAUAUGUUUUAAAAGAAACAAUGUGCUGACUU